GUCCUAAUAGUAUAACAAUUACAAUGGUCUUGUAAACCAUGAAUGGAGACCACUCUCCUUAGGACU
rnacentral:tRNA from 1 species